GGGUGAUGUUGGUGAAACGCAGAAGGAACCAGACACCCCCGAUGAAAGUAACAACGUGAGCAUGGAAUCCCACAAACUCCGCUGCCAAUUCAGCUGCCCCCGAUUCGCGGAUACCUGUUCCUACAUUGGUUCCAAGAGGUGGCGACUACGCAUAUGCUGACGUCACUCCAACGGAUCACGAAACUGCCGCACAUGAAGAUGCCGUUAACCACACCUAUGGUAAUGUCAAAUCUAUAAAACAGAAAAGAGGUCUUUCUCGGUUCGUAAAACACAAGCAACGUUCACCAGGGAUGCCCAACCAGCCACCCGGGGGAAGCGAUCGCAUAGCCCCGGAGCUGCCGACCAAAGAUACCACACAGGUCUUGUACGAGAUUCCGGACAUAAAAGCCACGACUAAAGCAACGGGCAUCGCGACCGUUGGAGCUAAUAAUGAGGUCUUUGGGGAAGGAGGCCUACCCGGGUGGGAGGAAAUCAUAGAGCAUACUUAUUUCGAAAGAAAGUGAUCUCUGGAUUUGUCUUAUACAUUAGGAAUAAUAAAGGUAUAAGAAAGGUUGUAAAGGUAUACUGUGUCUACCUUCCUACUGAUUGAUAUGUUUCGGGGUAUAGGUGGUAUAGUCGCAGCCUUAUAGGCAUUUUUUUAACAUAAAUAUACUUGUGUUUUUGGUUGUUACACAGUAUUUUGUUUUUGGGAAGGAACUAUUUAUAAUUGUCUGUUAAAAUAACAAAAGUAUUUUUCUUAGAACUUAAAUAAUUCAAUCCAUUCAUACAUUUCUUUUAAAUGAACAAUGAAAUCAAAAGAAACGAAACCCCUGUUUCAGAAUUAUUUUAUGUUAUAUACUUGUGUAAAGUUUUUUUUCUCCUUUUUUUCAUAAAACUAAAUGAAACUGCAUAAUGUGUAACUUUGUAUUUUUUUGUUUACAUAUUAAUUUAGUGCAAGUUUAAUGUCAGUCUCAAUUAUGAAUCGUAGUUAUCAAAACGGACAUUGCAAUUUGAAGCUUAGUUAAAACCUAUUAGGUAUAACUACACACCAAGUGCUUCACAAACUAACGAUGCCAACCCUUCCGAAAUUACAUAUUAUGGUGUAAUUGUUGGGAACAUCCUUUUUGAAGAGUCUUUGGUUAUACAUUUUCACACUUGUUAGCACAGGCAAACUAAAUACCAAUACCUAUUUAUGUGGGUAAAAGCUACCCCUGCGUAUGAGUGUCAAAUGUAUUAUACAUGAUUGGCAGAGCUGACAAUGGUCGUAGACGGUUUUCAUGUUUUGUGAUCAACCGAAAAAAUACGUGAAAUAAAAAGCCUGUAGAAGUUUAGA